rnacentral:lncRNA from 1 species
UGAAAGGGGGCUGUUUCUCAUACUGCUUUAAUGCUAUUAGUCAUGGGGUGAUUUUUUAAGUAUUAAGAGACAAAAUGGCAUUUGUUUGACUCAAGCAUUUAUUGUACCUUGCUAUAAAAAAUGUUGACUGAAUUCUCAAAAAAAUAGCUUCAGUGAUAGUCAAAUUGUCUCAGGCUUAUCCUUCCUCAGCUAGGCUCAGACGGGUGUAUAGUUGUCCAAGGUGAUAAGAGACAAUCAUCCAUGGCAGUUUAGCAUGUGAUGAUUGAUUACAGCUGUUUCACACUUUUAGAUUGUCAAUUUAUGUCUGCAAUCAUCGCUUGGAAGUCAGGGAUGGGGAACCUGUGGCCCUCCAGAUGCUGUGGGACUCCAACUUGCAUCAGCCCUUGACAGUGUAGUCAGUGAGUGGUCAGGAUGAUGAGAGUUUUUGUUCAACCACAUCUGGUGGGCCACAGGAUCCCCAUCGCUGAUCGAAGGCAUGGUUCCAUUUUGGGGAGUAGGUGAUGUUUUGGGCCUACUACUUCCAAGUGCAUGGGCACUGAAUAAAAUUCAUGAUCUGAUUUUCAGUAUUAUUUAGAAACUGGUGUUGUUUGUUUGUUUGUUUGUUUGUUUGUUUGGCAUGAUCUGAUUCCUCUUGAAUGCAGAAUACUUAUUUUUUGGCUCCAAUAUCCUAUUUUAGAAGUACAAAUGUAACAACAAUAUUUGCAUAUAAAUACAUGUACAAACAUAAUCUGAUUUAGGUGCUUGCAAACAUUAAUCUAGCAAACUCUUGUGUAGUGCCAAUAGAAGAGUGGCAGUUUUAAAUCCCAGUACUUUCUGGGUAGUAUUUCUGACUUCAUAUUUUGCAGGGGUGGGGAAACUCAGAUUUGGGGGCCAAUGAUGGCCCCCAAACCUCUGUAUCUGGUGCUCAGGACUAUCUCUAUACUGCUACCCUUCCCCAGCUUUACAUUCCCCUUGAGCGCUUUUGCAUGGAUGGAACAUGUCCUUGAGUUCUGAUAAUGCUUCUUGUCUGCCUAAAUGUAGAGAGUUGUAUGUGAAUGUGUGUUGAAACUAGCCUACUCUGCAAGUGUAAAAUUUACAUUCAUUGCCCCAACCACAUCUGUCUCUGACCCCACCCACCACAGACCUGCAGUUCCCAGAAGGUUGCUGAGAAACGAAUGUGGCCCUUGGAAUGAAAAAAGGUUUUCCUUCACCUCUACAUUGGAUGGGGCAGCAUUGAUCUUCCACUGUCAUCCUCCCCCCCCCCAAUACCCGUUCAAGUAUUCUUUAAUUGCCCAAGAACAUAUGAUUAUUGAAAAUGAUUAACUAAAUAACUAUGGAAGUAGUACUGGAAUCCUGGGAGUAAAGGAAGAGGUCCUGCUCCUAUGGCACAGAUCUUUUCCUGCAUGCUUCUGCCUCCAAACCACACUGUCUGUUGUGACACUUCAUAAGAAAUACAUCUCCAAUCAGAAUUCUCCUCAAAGGAGAGCAGACAGUGUCUAAAAGCAGCAAAAUCAUGUGCAAAUAAUGCCAAUCCCAACCCACAUUUUAUAGGCAAGAGAGGAUGUCAAACUGGGGAAAUUACGUUGCCCCAAAUUUUCUCCAACAAGACAUCACAGCUGAUUAUCCGACUGCCACUAGUCAUCAUGCUGCAGCUGCUACCGAGCUCAACUCGUCGGAACCAGCUCCCUACAACUCUGCUUAAGUCAAAACAGGAUGCAGACCAUGCUGUGAGCCAGGUUGGAUUAGCCAUAAUAAGGAGGUAGAUUGAGCAGCCUGUGACGAGUUAGACAUGACUGGUGGUGCAAAUCCAUCUUUACAGGGGCUUUUGUUUGCAUUGUGGUACAAGAGCUGCAUGGGGUUUAUCCUUCUAAGCAGUGGGGGGAAAUGCAUUGAUGUUUUUGACCUCAACAUUAUCCCUUUGGUUUGUUUUUGACCUCCUAAUUUUAUACCCAAAGGAUGCGAUCUUGCUGAAACAUGUGUGGAAUACAAGAUGGAGGGAGUAUGGAGAGGAAAUUCUGAGGCAAAGUAGGUUUGGGACUGUAUAUCAGGUGAAAUGCUUUGGCGCUUCAGAUGCUUCCAAAGCCUUCAUAAUUCUGCAGCUAUAUACAAAUGACCCAUUUGUUAAUCUGAAUUCCUAGGGUCCUUAAAAAAAAUCUCUCUCUCUCUCUCUCUCUCUCUCUCUCUCUCUUUCUGUCACACAAACACACACAUACACACACUUUACAGUAGUUAAUUACACAGAGCAAAAGGGGGAAAAUCAGUUUAAAACUAGGUAUGGGAAGAAAGCUGACAAAAACAUAAAUUAGAGGAAGAACUUAAUUUAAAAAGUGUCAAAAAGGAUAGAUAGUCUUAGUUCAAUAAUAAAGCCUGGUUCAGAAGCCUUCUAUCUUUAAAUAAAGCAUCCACGCACUCGAUUACCUGUAUACAACCAAUCUUUGAUUUCCAAUCUAGGUCUAUUUGCUUUUUGUGUGAUUAGCAUACAAAUGCCAAAAAGACAGAAGAUGUGACUACAUGGGUGGCGAUUAAGACACCCUCCUGACUUUCAUGUAAAUGGCUUGUCAGCUUGGAAGGAAAGCUCAGUAAAACUGUUAAAAGAUGUAAAUGUUGUUGUUGUUUUAAAAUUAGUAUAGCUGAACAUUGGUAGGUUGUUUUAUACCUUGCCAGGUUGCAGAGGAAGAAGGGGAAUGGAGCACAGGAUAAUUCCCCAGAACCAAGUAGCAGAGCUUGAGCACAUGUGCACAGUGUUCCUUCUGUCCAAGGUGACACCAGCAGGAAAAUAUCUAUUCUCCUAUAAGGCACCCAUGUUAUCUGAAUGUCUCCAUUUGAGGGCAGUGAUGACUAAACCCAGCUAUACCCACAGCAUAAGCAGUCCAACAGCUGGACACCAUAAUUCAUAGGAUGUAAACUGUUGUUUGCUGUGGCUUUGGUAGUACAGGCUUUGUUCAGUUUAAUAAAGAGUAUCUGAGUAUGUUAUUUUUGUUUAUUAGAGCAGAUUUAACUUGCUCAUAUCUUUUCACAUGUAAUCUGCUCUGAAUGAAGCUGCACAGCAAACACAUUUAUUUCGCAGAUAAUGAGUCCCGUUCCAUGCCCAAUAAGCACAGGACGCCUUUGCCUGGCGGUGCUGUGGCCCAUAGAUUGCAACAAAAUACUGGGCAAGGUGUUUUUGAUGGGCUCAUAGGAAAAAGCUGUCCCAUGAUCCCUUGCUGCAGAGGGGAGGGGAAAGCCACUUUGCUUUGAGAGCUUCCUGUCCACCUAUCUCCGGGUUAGAGCCUUCAGUGAGCAAUUUUGGGUCGCUGGUUGACAGGGCCAGAAAUGUUUUUUUUCUCCCUCUCGACCUGAUUGACACUUGGUUGGGUUGGGCUUUUUUCACCUUUUCCCUCAGUGAAAUUAUGGCCUUCCUUUGUUAGGUGGAGGAACAUUGUUUGUAUGAGGGCAGAACUGGCACUGGGCAAGAUCAACAUAGUAUGGGGGGGCAUAAGGGGCCUGAGGGGAGGAUUGACCAUGGCAAACGCAAGCUCAGGUUGAGGUGUCUGCCUGGUUGGAAUCUUCACCCUGGUCCCCCAGUGAGACCUUGCUUGCUUGGGUUUCAGCACAGCAAGGUUCAGCACUGGCCGAGUCCCAUCAUACAGGUUUGGAGUGAUCCAAACCCAGCGCAUCCAUUCCAUUAACGUGGGGUUUAUGGAAUGAUGAACGUAUCCUGGGACCCAAUGCCAUGCCAACACUUGCCCUGCCUGCUUCUGUCAAUAAAGUUUUGGCCUGAUUUUAUCCCAUCACUGUUGUCAGUCUGGUUAUUCUGCUGCUCUUGUGGGUCACAUAAUGCACCUGCCUGGGCAAAAGGCACCUAUCCUCGCAGUUCCCAUUCUCCACAAGGGAUAUCAUCACCUGUUCUGCUUAACACAUUUCAGAACAGACCUAGUCUCUAGUGGAGUAGGAGAGCUGAAAAUAAUGCCAAUAUAUUCUGCAUCUGGCAACUAAUACAUCCCUUGGGUUUCAGAUAGCACACAGAUAGAUCACACAUUGUCUUCCUUAACUGAAUGAUGAAGAUUAUGCUGGGUCUAUUGUUGGAGCCCCAGCUCCUUAAGAGAGCCUGCUGGUGCAGGCACCUGCCAUGGUUUCCUGGCUAUGGGCAUAUCUGGUAGUGGUGGGUAGUCAUUUUUUUCACUCCAGAGCAUUGUGGGAAAGGAAAAUGGCCGCCCACCAUUACUGUCAGCUAAGCCCAUAACUAAGAGCCUACUGAGGUAGAAGGGGACCAUCAGACAACAUUUUGUCAAGGUUCCCCUCAAACAUGAGGAUGGUCCUGGAUGUAACUGCUCAAAACCCUUCAAGUUCUGAAGAUGUGAUGCUCAGUGUGUUCAUGUCCAAAGAUG